UGCCCACAUGACUGUAAGUUGCUUUGGAUAAAAGCAUCCGCUAAACGGCAUAAU
rfam:Salmo salar isolate Sally breed double haploid chromosome ssa10, whole genome shotgun sequence.